UGUGCGACUAGGUACUGCAAACAAACAAAAUACACUAUUCAAACGGGAAACAGGUAAAUUAAAAUAAAAAUACAAUUAACGACAUUAAUUUUUUUUAAAAAAUGAUUUAAUUAAUUAAAAUAGUUAUAAGUUAAUAUUUUGAUGAAAAAUGAAAAAUGAAUACUUAUAAAUUGUUUAAAAAGAAAAUGAAAUUUUUUUUAAUCAAAUCGAAUUUUAUAUGAAAUUGCAUUUAAAAAGUUUUCAAUUGACCGGUUUCCUUCUUUAAAAUCUAUACAAAUUGAAUUCAGUGAUUUUAAAUUUUCUCGUAAGUGUUUCUUUUUUUGAUUUUAUGGCAUUUAGAUUCCAUUGGGCCAAUUUUGUUUCAUCUGCAAAAAUAUUAAGUAACAUUUUUUUAUAAUAUUCCUUACAAUUGGAUGGUUAUGACACUAAUUUAGAGAAUCGGUGGUUCAAACCUUCUGUUUAAUUAUUUGUACAUUCGCCAUUAUUUAAUGUAGUUUCAUACACAUUCCAAGUAAAAGGAGGGAACAUAGGUUGACAUUUUCUUGAUCUUUUUCUUUUUUAUUUUGUAAUAACACGUCUAUAUGUACCGUUCACGUAAGUCAUAUCAAAAUAAUCCACAAGAUUUUGAGCAUCUUCAGACAUAAUUGUUUUUAAAUAAGCCAUACCUUCUACAACUUUAUUUCUGGUAAAAAUGCUAAAGAAUCAAGUUUGGUACAAUAAGAUCGAAAUUCAUUAUCUUUUCUUUAUAAUGUUUCUAGUUCAAGUUUUUGAAUUUUUCUAUGUGUAUUUUGUGCGAGAUGUUAAAAACAACCACUUAUUUUUACGUAAGCUGCUAAAAUACUUUUUGCAACUUGGAUCAUAGAUUGUUCAAAAUACAUGUGCAAUUUUAAAGGGUCUGGAUAUAAACUUCUAUCUGAACAAAUAUCUAGUAUAAUGAAUAGCAUACUUACGUUUGUUUUUCGAUUUUUUUUACAUAAUAACAAUAGUAAUUAAAACGGAUUUAACCUAUUCUAAAAACAUAGAGCUGCUUAAAUUCUCUAGGAGCUAAAGCAAAAUUGCCAUCCAAAUACUAUUCAUUAGAUUCGCUCAAAAGUUUUAAUCAAUCGUCAGUAGCAAAUAUUGCAAUUAUAUUUGUUAAGUCUACCCACGUGUCAUGUAGUAAAAGUCAUGUAUAGUUUGGUACACCAAUAGUCGCCCAAUCACCUAGUGCAAUUUCAUUUAAUUUAUUAAUAUAAUUUAUUUAUACAUAUAUAUUAAUAUAAUAAUAUAAUUGAUAUUUACAUAAAUAAUAAAGGAUUUAUUUCAAUUAAUUUUUAACAUAUUAAAUUUUUUCGCGAAAAAUUAAAUUAAAAUUGGAUCAAAUUACUGACCUUCAAUAGCAGUUUUUUCGGUUCGAAUAUUUUUAGACCGUUAGUUUCAGAAAGUCCUUUUUAUUAUGUCUUCAACUGAAAUUCGAGCUUUACAUAAAGUCGAAAGUAAAUUAAUUAGAUUUAGCAUAGAUUUCAACUGGAUUUACUUGGGUUGACUUAACUUUUUCCUUUAUUUUUAGUAAACAUUUUGAAACUUGAACAUCGCUUUCAUUCGAUCUAUGGUUGUGUUCGAUCCCUACAUAGGAUCUAAAUUAUUCAACUUAGAAAUAAUCAUGCUCCUAUCCAGAAGAACAUGGAACUACCAUAACAAAAUUAGAACUAGAUAUGCCCGAACUAAAGAAAUGCUUUUCAAAUGGGAAACGACAAACAACACCCAAUGUAAUUGUGGAAACCCUUUACAAAACAUCAAAUAUCGUCCAAAAAUGCCCCCUGGAGAAAAUGCAUGGAGAAAAUGCAUGGAGAAAA